UAAAGACAGAACCCCAGGUCCAAGCUCUCAUACUCUCUCUACCUGUGACUUUGCUGCGUGGCCCUGGACGUGGCAUGUACCACCUGUGAGUAAUAAGCCUUGCGUUUUCAAAGUUCCCUGAUGGUUGCUGAGGUGCAUUAUGCAAUCAUAAUAAGAACCACAACAGCUGGUCCAACCUCAACAUUGGCUCCAGUCAGGGAAAUGUCUGUGGGACUCCACAAGUAGUACAGGCCCAGCUUCAUCAUCAUUACCAUGUGACCCUGGCAGUCAAAAGAUGGCUGCUGGUCCUCCAGCUCCUAUGUCUGCAUUCCGGGCAGACAGAGAGGGGAAGCACAGCAGAGCCUCCCCCAGGACUUCCGCCUACAUCUCCUGAGCCAGAGAUCUGUAAAGAGCCACCCUAGCUGCAAAGAAGCCUACAAGGUCACUUGCUACAUACAGUGGAUGGGCCCUGUCUGCUAGGAUCUCUCAGUCUCAUUGGAAUAGCAAAUCCAUACCUAUAUGGGACAUAGGGCAGACUCUGUGAGUGCUUCCUGGGUAUAAACAAUGUGCUAUGGGAAAAUGGAGAAGGAAAAGAUUCAUUAAAUAAUGGAUUUAUGGAAGGAUCCAAGAAGAUUUCCAGAUGUGGAGUUCCAGUUGAGUGUUGACAGAAGAGAAUCCCAACAGGUACCAGGAAAGUGUAGGCAGGUUGAUGGGUGGGGGGUGGACCUAUGUACUUAGACGUGUGGGGGUAUGGGGUGGGUGGAAUAAAAUAAGAUUGAAAAAGUAAGUAGGAACUACUUUUGGCAAGCUUUGAAUGUCCAGUGCUAAGGUUUUAGGUUAGGAUAUCAACAGGACAGAACAAGUGGACAAGAAUAAGGAGAUUGGACAUUGCAAAUGAGUUAGCAGGCUAUUGCAAUAGUGCAGAGAAGAGAGAACAAGAGAAGUCAGCACAGGAGUGGAGAGGAAGAGGUUGAAUCUGGAGCUGAAGUCCUCAACCUGGGCUGCAUAACAGAAUCAGCGGACUUCUAAAGUAAGGAUGCCCAUGCUGCACCCGCAGACCAACUAUAUCAGAAUCUCUGGGGUGGGAGCCAGGCAUCUGUGCUUUAAAGCUUUCCCGGUGAUUUCAGUGUGUGUGAGGUUGAGAACACUAUUCUAGAUGGGGCGAGAGGCAAGCCACAGAUUUUGAUGACUAGUUGGAUGGGGGAAGGGAAGGAAGGACCUGAAAAUGCAUCCCAGUGGUCAAUUCCAUGAAUGUAGAGGGGGUGACGCCCUGAGAUGGAGGAGCUAAGAAAGAAGCGGAGCUGCUCCUGGAGGAAAGGCAGUGCAGGUCAGGCAGGGGGCUAGGGGGACACCCAGCUGGAGGAGGAUGCUGAGAAAGGGGCUGAGAAGUUCACCUCCUGUUGGUCUUGCCUCCAUCGAGGCUUCGCAAAGGAGCCCUUACAAGGCAAGGAGGGCAAGAAAAUGUCCCUUCCAUUCUCACUCCUGCAGGACCUGUUCAUUUUGCACUUUAAUGAGGAGAAGACCCUCUUUGGAAUAUUCUCUUGGCGGCUCAGGUCUAAACAGAUACCAUGAUUCUGCAUUAGCCAGCCCCGGUGGUCUCGUGGUUAAGAUUCGGCUCUUUCACCACCAGCACUCGGAUUUGUUUCUUGGUCAGGGAACCACACCACCCAUCUGUUGGUUGUCAUACUGUGGUGGUUGCAUGUUGAUGUGAUGCUGAAGGUUUAUGCCACUGGUAUUUUAAAUACCAGCAGGGUCACCCAUGGUGGACAGGUUUUAGCAGAGUUUCCAGACUAAGACAGACUAGGAAGAAGGACCUGGCCACCCAAUUCUGAAAAAAUUGGCCAUGAAAACCCUAUGAAUGGCAGCAGCACAUUGUUUGAUAGAGCACCGGAAGGAGAGAGGAUGGCGCAACACAACCGGGCAGGGCUCUGCUCUGCUGUGCGCAGGAUCACUAGGAGUCGGGGUUGACUCCAGGGCACUAACAAUCACAAAUUUUUGCAUUAGAACUAAAAAUUGCAUUUGGCGCCAGAACAAUGGCAAACUCAGUCCCAUAUUCCUGCUCUGACACAAAGGCCAGUGACCAGCGGAAAUGUCCCUGGAACGCCCUGGAUGUGCACUUGGCUCUGACCUUCCUAGUUGAUCUGAAUCAUUUUGGAAAUGUGUCCAUAUUUUGGUUUUUACAAUCUGUGAGUGUUGAUGAGCUGAUUAAUUGUUCAUUUUUUUUAAAGUUUAGCAACAGGCUGAGCUCCUUGGAAAUCCUUGAGGACUUCAGUUUUGAUUACAAAGCAAUCUUUCUGCCCAAAUUCCAAUUACAGGCUAUUUCAGAUCUCCAGAGGAGUCCAGGGAAAGAACUUGUUCUCUCAAUGGAAGUAAUUUCUCUCCUGUCACUUCCACUCAACCCUGAUUCCACCCAGCUUUCCUUAUUGCUCCCUUAGUAGGCUUCUGAGAAGUUCAUGGGGAGCUUCUCCAAAGUGCACCAUUUCCUUUGUGAUGUUUUUUUCCCAUUAGAGCAUUGGCAUAUUUUUUUUAAUUUUUAUAUCCAUGUAAGUCAUGUGUAGAAAAGUUCAUAAGCCGUAAGUAUACAAAUCGACAAAUUCUUACAAAGUGAUCACACACACUCAAGUCACAAAAAAGAAUCAGCACCCCAGAGGCCCCUCACAGGCCCCCGCCCGGUUACUCUCCACUCCCUUCUUCUCAGAGGCUACCCUGUCAAAACUUCCGACACCACUGAUUAGUUUUGCCUAUUUGAGGACUUCUUGUAAAUGCGCUUCAUUCUUUUGUGUUGGCGUGAUUUUUCACUCAAAAUCGGGCUUGUGAGAUUCAUCCACACUGUUGCACAUAGAGCUAGUUCAUUCAUUUUCUCUGUCAUAUAGUAUUCCACUGUAUGAACACAUCACAAUUUAUCCUGUGGAAACUGAUAAAAGAAACCCCAACUAAAUUGGAGUCGGGAAGGCCUUUUGGGGAGCUCUCGUGCUCUACCUCACAUCAUCAACUACUCCAAACAGGAAAAGACAAACACUUACAUCUCCGGCAAAAAGUGCAACUACUUUACUACUGAAGGAAGACUUCUCUCUACCUGGCAACAGCCCGGCCAAUGAAAAACGUUGCAGCUCAGCCAAGGAGAAGCCAUCACCACCCUGAACUGUUACUUUCCUCCAAGACUUUCAUUUAGAACAGCCCCUUUGCUCUAUGAAAGCAAGCCACUUCCUUUGUCUCUCUAGAUUUGCCUAUGGUUCCCCAUAGCAUGCACAUUCCGAAUUGUAAUUCCUUGCUGAUCUCGAGUAAACCCAUUUUUGGUGGAGAAAUCAUUGGCUGUCUAUUUCUUUAAGGUCAAGAACCAAUUAUACCAUUUGGAUUGUUUCCCAUUGGGGCUAGAACGAAUAGUGCUGCCAUGAACUUGAUGCAUGUCUUUAGGUAAACAUGUACAUCACUGAAUCUUAAUCAUGAUUCUUGUAUCUAGGUUAAGAAGACAAUGCUUUAUUUGAAGACAGAGAGACUAAGGUGGGGAGCAAGUCUUGGGGGAAUGAAAACAACUAAAGGAGAGGAAAAGGAAACGCUUGGUUUCCCGCACACAUCUCCUCUUUAUUUAACUUCAGGAUCCUCUCCCAAGGGCCACAUUGUGGUAGGAUGGAGUGGGAGACAACAGGUGCAUAACCCUGGUGUCAUCCUAUUAACUGAAGGAGUUUGAUGCCACAAAGUUGAUUAUCCCUUGAUGUGAGCAUGGCACUAAAUUUGGGAUUUCUUAAUACAGAGUGGCAUGAUUUUCUGUUCCCUCAAACUUCUGAAAAUCCACAUUGCUGGUAUUCUUCUCUUCCAUUAGUAACACAGCUCAUCUUGGACGAUGAGAGAGUGCAUUUGGUAUGUGAAUCUGAGGAUACUACCCACGAAAAACUAUGGAAGAAACGCAGGGACAAACGAAUUGCACUGAAAGAAAAUGUGUAAAAGAAGCAACAUGAUCCUGUGAGACAACUGGUAAGACGUGACACUCUCACACGUGGAACACAUCACUUUCCUCCUCCAAACGCCAACUGUUGCCUAUGCUGGAUGAGGCAGGUGGAAGCAGCCUGCCAGAUAAGACUACAGAGCUCAUCCGCUGUUGAGGGUGGCCUCAGGAGGACAAGCAAACUAUAGUUUAUUAUGCUGCGAGUCACACUCUUACAGUCAGGGAAAAGCUGCUCCUUUCCUCUCAUCCACAAAGGGCUGUGAAGAAUGCUGCCUUUGGUGCUCAAUGGAUUGGAAAAAGAAGCCAUAAACGAAGAAAAGACAAAGGACAAAAUCAGUCACAAAGUGGGUGGGUGCUUGGCAGAUUUGAGGGUCAAAUUCACCACACCAGCGCAGUUCAAGAAAGCUGAGCUGUGAAGUUGAAGUAUACCAACCUGGUCAGGCACCUGUGUGCUAUGCAGUGUGCACCUACGCACCAAACUCUCAUUAGAAGGAGGCAUUGUCAUCCUAGGCCUCGGGGAAUCCCACAAAUAAUUUUAAGGGCAGUGAGUAGCACACAAUCAAAAAAAGUCAACCACACAAGAGCACAAGAAUGUAACAACCAUGACAAUCUAAUCAACUGUUACAGACGGCUAAAACAGACCUGAGUAGACUACAGAUACUGGAGUUAUCAGAUAUAGAUUGUAAAUACUUCUAAGUUCAAAUAAUAAAAGACAACCUUAGAAACAUCAUCAGCAAACAGAAAACUAUAAACAGCGGUCAAAUAGAACUAACACACUAUAUAAGAAGGACCAAGUUAAAUCAUGAAAAAUUUUAAAAAACAACCAAACUAAAACUAAAUGAAUGAAUUUGACAGCAUAUUAAAUUUUCAGAAGAGAAAAUGUGAUCUAGAAGCCAUAUUCGAAGAAAUUAUUCAGAAUUCUAUACAGAGACAAAAAGGUGAAAAAUACAUUGAAAAUGAUGGUAGUGUGAGAUAGUAUAACAGCUGUUUAAGAAGGAGAUCAGAGAGAAGAAACAGCGGAGAUGAUAUUUUAAAAGAUAUUAGCUAAUAGUGAUCCAAAAAUUGAUGAAAUACAUCAUUCCACAAACUCAUAUGUCCAGUGAUUCCCAGAGAGGACAGAUAAAAAUAAAUCCACAUCUACAGUGAAACUGCAGAAUAUCAGACAAGGAAAAACAUAUCUUAAAGCAAAGAAAUAAUAGAUUGAUUGCUUUCUCAACAGCACCAGUGGAAGACAAAAGGUGGUUGGAAUGAAAUCUACAAUGUA